GGAUUAGAUACCCUGGUAGUCCACGCNGUAAACGAUGAGUGCUAGGUGUUAGGGGNUUCGACGCCNUUAGUGCCGAAGUUAACACAUUAAGCACUCCGCCUGGGGAGUACGACCGCAAGGUUGAAACUCAAAGGAAUUGACGGGGGCCCGCACAAGCAGUGGAGCAUGUGGUUUAAUUCGAAGCAACGCGAAGAACCUUACCAGGUCUUGACAUCCUUUGACCAUCCUAGAGAUAGGGCUUCCCCCUUCGGGGGACAAAGUGACAGGUGGUGCAUGGUUGUCGUCAGCUCGUGUCGUGAGAUGUUGGGUUAAGUCCCGCAACGAGCGCAACCCUUGACUUUAGUUGCCAGCAUUCAGUUGGGCACUNUAAGGUGACUGCCGGUGACAAACCGGAGGAAGGUGGGGAUGACGUCAAAUCAUCAUGCCCCUUAUGACCUGGGCUACACACNUGCUACAAUGGAUGGUACAAAGGGUUGNGAAGCNGCGAGGUGAAGCCAAUCCCAGAAAGCCAUUCUCAGUUCGGAUUGCAGGCUGCAACUCGCCUGCAUGAAGCCGGAAUUGCUAGUAAUCGCGGAUCAGCAUGUCGCGGUGAAUACGUUCCCGGGCNUUGUACACACCNCCCGUCACACCAUGGGAGUGGGUUGCACCAGAAGUAGCUAGUCUAACCUUCGGGAGGACGGUUACCAGCGGUGGGAUCAGUGACUGGGGUGAAG
rnacentral:rRNA from 1 species